rnacentral:misc_RNA from 1 species
CGCACAUUGCGCCUUCCGGUAUUCCGGGAGGCAUGCCUGUCUGAGCGUCAGUGAAUCCUCAUACCCACUUGUGUGUAUUCGUACCAUGGGUGGGCGUGGUUGUGAGCCGUGAGAUUGGUCUCUGGCUUGAAAUGCAUCGGCUGUGUCGCCUGGUACUUUAAUGUGAUAGGUAUUUCCAACUCAUUGAAGCCAAGCAUCGCACAGUCCUUUCAUCUAUACACUGUACUCUUGACCUCAGAUCAGGUAGGGAUACCCGCUGAACUUAA